rnacentral:lncRNA from 1 species
CGUGUGGUCCCUCCCUUGUUCGGCCGAUCAGAAGCGUGGUCGGUGCGGUGGUGGCCGAUGACAAGAGGGGCUGCGAUGGUGCAGCUCAGAAGAAGUCAGACCGACAGUCAGUAGUGACCACCGGCACCGAAAAACCAAAGAAAAGAGGGUGGAAACAGGAGACUUUUCUCCAACAAAAUUCGACGAACCCGAUCGCCGGCGAUCGUGCACACAGGCAAGGAAAGGAAGGGGG